rnacentral:miRNA from 1 species
AGGGUUUGUUUGGGAGCAAGUGGA